CAUGCAACAGUUAGCUCUGCUUGAAAUAAGUCUAAAUGAAAUGGUAGCUGUAGUGCCUGUGCCCGGUGGGAGUACUUAUAUGGGUGGACAUGAAGUAAGUUACAGGCGUGCGAGGCUACAGGGGAGAAAGUUUCUAAGGAUCUGAAGGUUGCAAAUGCUGGCUGUGAGUCCCUUGUUCCACUACUUUUCCAUUAUGAAUCAUUGCUAUGACAUCAGCGUUCUGGACGGUCAUCAAGCGGUGAGCAAUAAUAAUGCAGGUUCGACCCUUCCUGGCAUCGUCCAAGGCUUUCUGGACAAUCUGCAGACAGAUGCAGUGAAAAACUUGCUAUUACUUGGAGAAUCUUCCCUUUCAUAGCCUGGUUUGCAAGGACUAUCAUUACUUUAGGAAGGGAGCUCUGAGUAUGAGGUAGCAAGGAAGAAGACUUGAAGACAAGAGUGAGUGAAGGAGAUGUUAGGAGAGACUGUAGGAGCCUCCUCUGCUGCCUGGG